AUUAGAUACCCUAUUAUUAAGAGCCUAUAAAUAAAUUUAAAAAAGUACUACAAUGAAAAGUGUAUAAACUUAAAAUAAUAUGGCGGUAAUUAUAAUCUUUAGGGGAACUUACCUAAUAAAGGAUAGCCAUCCAGGUAAACUACCUUUUCUAGCAACCUGUAUGCCGUCGUCACCAGAAACCUUUGCUAAAAGAUUUCAAAUUAAUAUAAUCAAAUAUAAUUAUGACAGAUCAAGGUGCAGUUUAUGAAAAGGGUAAGGCGAGUUACAAUUAUAAUUAUUAACGGAAGUUAUUAUGAAGAAAUAAUAAAAGUUGGACUUAAAAGUAAAACUAAUUAUAUAUAGUGUUAGAAUUAUUUAUAAUUGUGUACAUAUCGGCC
rnacentral:rRNA from 1 species